rnacentral:tRNA from 1 species
UCCCUGGUGGCUUAGACAGUAAAGAAUCUGCCUGCCAAGUAGGAGAUCCAAGUUCGAUCCCUGGGUUGGGAA